AUACAGAUGGCGCACGGCGCACGGGUGCGUAACACGUGGGUAAUCUGCCCUUCGAAGGGGAAUAACUCGCCGAAAGGCGAGCUAAUUCCGCAUAACAUUCCGAGAACCUUGGUUUUUGGAUUCAAAGGCGUAAGUCGUCGGAGGAGGAGCCCGCGCACGAUUAGCUAGUUGGUAGGGUAACGGCCUACCAAGGCUAUGAUCGUUAGCUGGUCUGAGAGGAUGGCCAGCCACACUGGAACUGAGACACGGUCCAGACUCCUACGGGAGGCAGCAGUGGGGAAUCUUGCACAAUGGGCGAAAGCCUGAUGCAGCGACGCCGCGUGGGGGAUGAAGCUUCUCGGAGUGUAAACCCCUUUCGA
rnacentral:rRNA from 1 species